GACGAACCGUGCGAACGUUGUUCGGAAUCACUGGCUUAAAGGGCGCGUAGGCGGUUUGCCAAGUCAGGGGUGAAAUCCUGCAGCUCAACUGUAGAAGUGCCUUUGAUACUGGCGAACUCGAGGGAGGUAGGGGUGGGUGGAACUUCUGGUGGAGCGGUGAAAUGCGUUGAUAGUCAGAAGGAACGCCGGUGGCGAAAGCGACCCACUGGAUCUCGACUGACGCUGAGGCGCGAAAGCGUGGGGAGCGAUCCGG
rnacentral:rRNA from 1 species